UACGUAGGUGGCAAGCGUUGUCCGGAUUUAUUGGGUUUAAAGGGUGCGUAGGUGGUCUAUUAAGUCAGUGCUGAAAUAUCCCGGCUUAACCGGGAGGGUGGCAUUGAUACUGAUGGACUUGAGUAGAGUUGAGGUAGGCGGAAUUGACGGUGUAGCGGUGAAAUGCUUAGAUAUGUCAUAGAACACCGAUUGCGAAGGCAGCUCACAAAACUGUAACUGACGCUGAGGCACGAAAGCAUGGGGAUCGAACAGG
rnacentral:rRNA from 1 species